rnacentral:rRNA from 1 species
GACGGAGGGUGCAAGCGUUGUUCGGAUUGACUGGGCGUAAAGGGCGUGUAGGCGGUUCGUUAGGUCGGGUGUGAAAGCCCGGGGCUCAGCUCCGGAAGUGCGCCCGAAACCGGCGAGCUGGAGCGCGGUAGAGGAGGGUGGAAUUCCUGGUGUAGCGGUGAAAUGCGUAGAUAUCAGGAGGAACACCGGCGGCGAAGGCGGCCCUCUGGACCGUUGCUGACGCUGAGACGCGAAAGCGUGGGGAG